CAGCCGCCACGGUAAUACAGAGGGUGCGAGCGUUAAUCGGAUUUACUGGGCGUAAAGCGUGCGUAGGCGGCUUCUUAAGUCGGAUGUGAAAUCCCUGAGCUUAACUUAGGAAUUGCAUUCGAUACUGGGAAGCUAGAGUAUGGGAGAGGAUGGUAGAAUUCCAGGAGUAGCGGUGAAAUGCGUAGAGAUCUGGAGGAAUACCGAUGGCGAAGGCAGCCAUCUGGCCUAAUACUGACGCUGAGGUACGAAAGCAUGGGGAGCAAACAGGAUUAGAGACCCCCGUAGUCCCUGUCUCUUAUAC
rnacentral:rRNA from 1 species